rnacentral:lncRNA from 1 species
AUGCUAGGAAAGCCUGCCAAUGCAGGAGAUGCAAGAGACGCGAAUUUGAUCCCUGGUCUCCUGCAUGGUUGGUGGAUUCUUCACUGUCUGAGCCACCAGGGUUACACAGAGCUUUUGUCAAAACAGAAAAGCUUAAACCACAAUCUGUUCGAUCCACCAGUUUUACGGAUGAAGAGACUGCUGCUGCUGCUGCUGCUAAGUCUCUUCAGUCAUGUCCGACUCCAUAGACGGCAGCCCACCAGGCUCUCCCGGGCAAGAACACUGGAGUGGGUUGCCAUUUCCUUCUCCAAUGCAUGAAAGUGAAAAGUGAAGUCGCUCAGUCGUGUCUGACUCUUCGUGAUCCCGUGGACUGUGGCCCACCAGGCUCCUCCGUCCAUGGGAUUUUCCAGGCAAGAGUGCUGGAGUGGGGUGCCAUCGCCUUCUCCAGAUGAAGAGACUAAGGCCCAGCAAAGUGGACAACACAGCAGUACGUGCAGGCUGUAGAUUCUUGAGUCCAGCACAUCACUGUCUUUCUAGCUAUUCUCGGUCUUGCUUGAGAAGCGGACACAGUGACACGGCACCUCAUCCUGCAAACGCCCUGACGCAUCUCCCUGGACUUUCAGGGACUAGAAGAGAGAGCUAGUCUGUCUUUAGACGUUCUGGGAGGCCAACAACCCUGGAGCUCGCUUGCAAACGGCUCACCCCACCAAUGGCAGCAUCAAGUUCAGAUGACUAAAGGAGGCUACCCUCUGCCGCUAGGCCUCUGGGGCUCUGAGGAAGUACCAGGGCCUUGUUGGUCCCUGU